rnacentral:tRNA from 1 species
GCCCAAGGUAGCUUAACAUUAAAGCAUUAGUUUUGUAAACUAAAAAUGGGAUAUACCCCCUGAGCU